UAUAUAGAAAUAAAUAUGUAAUCUACAGGUCUAAGUUUUUCUUUUUGAUGGUAAAAAUUUGGUUGACAAAAUAGUGAGCAUGGCACUAUUAGAAAUGAAUAAGAAAAUUCAGAUACUAAGUAGUGUAUUAAUUGCUACAUUUCAAUUUUGAAUUUAUCAAGGGUAGAAAUAAAAUUGGUUUGGUGUGCAGUUUUGCCUUUCACAUAACUCCAAAACCAAACAUAUAUGAAUUAAAAAUCAUUGAUUUACUAAUAGAAAUAAUAUUGAUCCUUUUCUCAAAAUUGAUAUCUUGGUGAUUUAUUGAAACUGUCUUGAAAUAGAGCACACUAUGAUACAUGAAAAGCUAAGACAGAAAUUCAGGAUGAUAAUCUUAAUACAUUCAGGUUUUGAUGGAACCACCAGCAGUCUGAUUACUGGCCAUACCACAGGUUGCACUUGAAUAUAAAUAGAAUAUUUGUUAAUAUUACAAUGUUGGAUUCAUUCUUUGAUAUUUUUGAAAGUUAAAAAAAUAAAUUUUAAUUUCAACUUUAAAAACAUAAAUAAUCAUAAAAUCUGGCUGAAUGGUCCAAUAAGAUGAGAUGGACUUUCUCUCCAAUUUUGAAUAUUUAAGAAUU